CGAAGGCGAAAGGGGAGAAGCCCAAACUAUUUCUGCGUGAUAGCGUGCUUGCGUUGCAGGAAUGGGGUUGUAGGGUCUAUCGAGGUGAAGAGCACUUCACCAGGGUUGAUGAGAGAAGUCAGUCGAGCGGACUGGAAAGUCCGGCCAGAGAGGGUGAAAGCCCCGUAGGCGAAGACUUUGAACAGACUCAGAUAGAUACCUGAGUACGGUGGGACACGGGAAACCCCGCCGGAAUCUGGGAGGACCAUCUUCCAAGGCUAAAUACUACCUGAUGACCGAUAGUGAACAAGUACCGUGAGGGAAAGGUGAAAAGAACCCCGGUAAGGGGAGUGAAAUAGAACCUGAAACCGUGCGCCUGCAAGCAGUUGAAGCUCGCAAGAGUGACAGCGUGCCUUUUGCAUAAUGAGUCGGCGACUUACGUUCAGCAGCGAGGUUAAGCCGUUAGGCGAAGCCGAAGCGAAAGCGAGUCUGA
rnacentral:rRNA from 1 species